CGUGGGGCGUCCUAUACAUGCAAGUCGAGCGGACAGAAGGGAGCUUGCUCCCGGAUGUUAGCGGCGGACGGGAGAGUAACACGUGGGUAACCUGCCUGUAAGACUGGGAUAACUCCGGGAAACCGGAGCUAAUACCGGAUAGUUCCUUGAACCGCAUGGUUCAAGGAUGAAAGACGGUUUCGGCUGUCACUUACAGAUGGACCCGCGGCGCAUUAGCUAGUUGGUGGGGUAAUGGCUCACCAAGGCGACGAUGCGUAGCCGACCUGAGAGGGUGAUCGGCCACACUGGGACUGAGACACGGCCCAGACUCCUACGGGAGGCAGCAGUAGGGAAUCUUCCGCAAUGGACGAAAGUCUGACGGAGCAACGCCGCGUGAGUGAUGAAGGUUUUCGGAUCGUAAAGCUCUGUUGUUAGGGAAGAACAAGUGCGAGAGUAACUGCUCGCACCUUGACGGUACCUAACCAGAAAGCCACGGCUAACUACGUGCCAGCAGCCGCGGUAAUACGUAGGUGGCAAGCGUUGUCCGGAAUUAUUGGGCGUAAAGGGCUCGCAGGCGGUUUCUUAAGUCUGAUGUGAAAGCCCCCGGCUCAACCGGGGAGGGUCAUUGGAAACUGGGAAACUUGAGUGCAGAAGAGGAGAGUGGAAUUCCACGUGUAGCGGUGAAAUGCGUAGAGAUGUGGAGGAACACCAGUGGCGAAGGCGACUCUCUGGUCUGUAACUGACGCUGAGGAGCGAAAGCGUGGGGAGCGAACAGGAUUAGAUACCCUGGUAGUCCACGCCGUAAACGAUGAGUGCUAAGUGUUAGGGGGUUUCCGCCCCUUAGUGCUGCAGCUAACGCAUUAAGCACUCCGCCUGGGGAGUACGGUCGCAAGACUGAAACUCAAAGGAAUUGACGGGGGCCCGCACAAGCGGUGGAGCAUGUGGUUUAAUUCGAAGCAACGCGAAGAACCUUACCAGGUCUUGACAUCCUCUGACAACCCUAGAGAUAGGGCUUUCCCUUCGGGGACAGAGUGACAGUGGUGCAUGGUUGUCGUCAGCUCGUGUCGUGAGAUGUUGGGUUAAGUCCCGCAACGAGCGCCAACCCCUUGAUCUUAGUUGCCAGCAUUUCAGUUUGGGUCACUCUACGUGACUGCCCGGUUGACAAUCGAAGAGGUGGGAUGACGUUCAAAUUC
rnacentral:rRNA from 1 species